GGAUGAACGCUAGCUACAGGCUUAACACAUGCAAGUCGAGGGGAAACGACAUCGAAAGCUUGCUUUUGAUGGGCGUCGACCGGCGCACGGGUGAGUAACGCGUAUCCAACCUGCCCAUCACUUGGGAAUAACCUUGCGAAAGUAAGACUAAUACCCAAUGACAUCCCACGAAGACAUCUGAAUGGGAUUAAAGAUUUAUCGGUGAUGGAUGGGGAUGCGUCUGAUUAGCUUGUUGGCGGGGUAACGGCCCACCAAGGCAACGAUCAGUAGGGGUUCUGAGAGGAAGGUCCCCCACAUUGGAACUGAGACACGGUCCAAACUCCUACGGGAGGCAGCAGUGAGGAAUAUUGGUCAAUGGGCGAGAGCCUGAACCAGCCAAGUAGCGUGCAGGAUGACGGCCCUAUGGGUUGUAAACUGCUUUUAUAAGGGAAUAAAGUGGGUCUCGUGAGACUUUUUGCAUGUACCUUAUGAAUAAGGACCGGCUAAUUCCGUG
rnacentral:rRNA from 1 species